AUUGAACGCUGGCGGCAGGCCUAACACAUGCAAGUCGAACGGUAACAGGAAGAAGCUUGCUUCUUUGCUGACGAGUGGCGGACGGGUGAGUAAUGUCUGGGAAACUUCCUGAUGGAGGGGGAGAACUACUGGAAACGGUAGCUAAUACCGCAUAACGUCGCAAGACCAAAGAGGGGGACCUUCGGGCCUCUUGCCAUCGGAUGUGCCCAGAUGGGAUUAGCUAGUAGGUGGGGUAACGGCUCACCUAGGCGACGAUCCCUAGCUGGUCUGAGAGGAUGACCAGCCACACUGGAACUGAGACACGGUCCAGACUCCUACGGGAGGCAGCAGUGGGGAAUAUUGCACAAUGGGCGCAAGCCUGAUGCAGCCAUGCCGCGUGUAUGAAGAAGGCCUUCGGGUUGUAAAGUACUUUCAGCGGGGAGGAAGGGAGUAAAGUUAAUACCUUGGCUCAUUGACGUUACCCGCAGAAGAAGCACCGGCUAACUCCGUG
rnacentral:rRNA from 1 species